UAAGCAUAUCAAUAAGCGGAGGAAAAGAAACCAACAGGGAUUGCCCUAGUAACGGCGAGUGAAGCGGCAACAGCUCAAAUUUGAAAUCUGGCUCUUUCAGAGUCCGAGUUGUAAUUUGCAGAGGGCGCUUUGGCUUUGGCAGCGGUCCAAGUUCCUUGGAACAGGACGUCACAGAGGGUGAGAAUCCCGUACGUGGUCGCUAGCUAUUGCCGUGUAAAGCCCCUUCGACGAGUCGAGUUGUUUGGGAAUGCAGCUCUAAAUGGGAGGUAAAUUUCUUCUAAAGCUAAAUAUUGGCCAGAGACCGAUAGCGCACAAGUAGAGUGAUCGAAAGAUGAAAAGCACUUUGGAAAGAGAGUCAAACAGCACGUGAAAUUGUUGAAAGGGAAGCGCUUGCAGCCAGACUUGCUUGCAGUUGCUCAUCCGGGCUUUUGCCCGGUGCACUCUUCUGCAGGCAGGCCAGCAUCAGUUUGGGCGGUGGGAUAAAGGUCUCUGUCACGUACCUUCCUUCGGGUUGGCCUUAUAGGGGAGACGCCAUACCACCAGCCUGGACUGAGGUCCGCGCAUCUGCUAGGAUGCUGGCGUAAUGGCUGUAAGCGGCCCGUCUUGAAACACGGACCAAGGAGUCUAACAUCUAUGCGAGUGUUUGGGUGUCAAGCCCGAGCGCGUAAUGAAAGUGAACGGAGGUGGGAACCCGCAAGGGUGCACCAUCGACCGAUCCUGAAGUUUACGGAAGGAUUUGAGUAAGAGCAUGGCUGUUGGGACCCGAAAGAUGGUGAACUAUGCUUGAAUAGGGUGAAGCCAGAGGAAACUCUGGUGGAGGCUCGCAGCGGUUCUGACGUGCAAAUCGAUCGUCAAAUUUGGGCAUAGGGGCGAAAGACUAAUCGAACUAUCUAGUAGCUGGUUCCUGC
rnacentral:rRNA from 1 species